UAGGGAAUCUUCGGCAAUGGACGCAAGUCUGACCGAGCAACGCCGCGUGAGUGAAGAAGGUUUUCGGAUCGUAAAACUCUGUUGUAAGAGAAGAACGUUGAUGAGAGUGGAAAGUUAAUCAAGUGACGGUAUCUUACCAGAAAGCCACGGCUAACUACGUGCCAGCAGCCGCGGUAAUACGUAGGUGGCAAGCGUUGUCCGGAUUUAUUGGGCGUAAAGCGAGCGCAGGCGGUUGAUUAAGUCUGAUGUGAAAGCCCCCGGCUCAACCGGGGAGGGUCAUUGGAAACUGGUCAACUUGAGUGCAGAAGAGGAGAGUGGAAUUCCAUGUGUAGCGGUGAAAUGCGUAGAUAUAUGGAGGAACACCAGUGGCGAAGGCGGCUCUCUGGUCUGUAACUGACGCUGAGGCUCGAAAGCGUGGGGAGCGAACAG
rnacentral:rRNA from 1 species